GCUCUGCAGUCCUCACGGACUCUGGGUCAUUCCUGCGGGUCCCGGGAGGUUUGGGGCAGGGUAAUCCCUGCGUGGGAUAUCAUGUCCUCGCUCUGUCAAGACAGGGUUUUAGACUCCUUGAGUCCCAAGAUGAAGCGCUUUUGUUUACUUUCGGCAAUUAAAUGACAGUAGAAUGGAAAGAAAAUGCUGUAGGCGUCCUGGUUUGUGGUUCCCAACGAUGUAUACUUUCCUACUGGGUGCUGUAUUCAUUGGUUUGAGCUCAAGUCGCAUCUUAUUAGUAAAAUAUUCUGCCAACGAAGAGAACAAGUAUGAUUAUCUUCCAACUACCGUGAAUAUAUGCUCAGAAUUAGUGAAGCUCAUUUUCUGUGUGCUUGUGUCAUGCUAUGUUAUAAAAAAAGAAGAUCAUCAAAGUAGAAAUUUGAGAUGUGCUUCCUGGAAGGAGUUCUCUAAUUUCAUGAAGUGGUCCAUUCCCGCUUUUCUUUAUUUCCUGGAUAACUUGAUUGUCUUCUAUGUCCUAUCCUACCUUCAGCCUGCCAUGGCUGUUAUCUUCUCAAAUUUUAGCAUUAUAACAACAGCUCUUCUAUUCAGGAUAGUGCUGAAGCGGCAUCUGAACUGGAUACAGUGGGCUUCCCUCCUGAUUUUAUUUUUUUCUAUCGUGGCCCUAACUACUGGGACUAAAACUUCACAGCACAACCUGGCAGGGCAUGGAUUUCAUCACGAUGCCUUCUUCAGCCCAUCCAAUUCCUGCCUUCAUUUCAGAAGUGAAUGUCCUGGAAAAAAUUGCACAACAAAGGAGUGGACUUUUCCUGAAGCUAAAUGGAAUAAUACCACAGCCAGAGUUUUCAGUCACAUCCGUCUUGGCUUGGGCCAUAUACUGAUCAUAGUACAGUGUUUUAUUUCUUCGAUGGCCAAUAUCUAUAACGAAAAGAUACUGAAAGAAGGGAACCAUCUCACAGAAAGCAUCUUCCUACAGAACAGCAAACUCUAUUUCUUUGGCAUCCUUUUUAAUGGGCUGACGCUGGGCCUUCAGAACAGUAACCGUGAUCAGAUUAAGAACUGUGGAUUUUUUUAUGGUCACAAUGCGUUUUCAGUAGCCCUCAUUUUUGUAACUGCAUUUCAGGGCCUUUCAGUGGCUUUCAUUCUGAAGUUCCUGGAUAACAUGUUCCACGUCUUAAUGGCCCAGGUUACCACUGUCAUCAUCACCACAGUGUCCGUCCUGGUCUUUGACUUCAGGCCCUCCUUGGAGUUUUUUUUGGAAGCCCCUUCCGUCCUUCUUGCCAUAUUUAUUUAUAAUGCCAGCAAACCUCAGAGUCUAGAAUGUGCACCCAGGCAAGAACGGAUCCGAGAUCUGAGUGGAAGUCUUUGGGAGCGGUCGAGUGGGGAUGGAGAAGAACUGGAAAGACUUACCAAACCCAAGAGCGAUGAGUCAGAUGAAGACACUUUCUAAAUUGAUACCAGAAUAGUUGGCAGGUCUCACAAACCAACAUUUGUAAUAUUUACCUUUUCACUUUGAUAAACCAAGGGUGUCCUGUUGUAUUCCACGAUACCAUAGAGAUAUUUAACAAAAGAGUCAUCACACUCUUCCUGGGUUGACAGUGUAUGCUGUAGGGAUGCUCAUAGCAUUGCAGACUACAAGUCCAAAGGCUUCGGAAGCAUGGAAGCUGAAGGUAUAACUCUUAGUCUCUGCUCAAAAGCCUAAGAAGCUAGAAACUAAGAAGCUAGUGGUGUGAGUCCUGGAGUACAGAGGCCAGAGAGCCUGGAGUCUUGAUAUUUACAGGCAGUAGGAGGUUCUCCCAGCCUCAGAACAGAGAGGAAGUCACUUUUCUUUUGCCUGUUCUAUUCUGUUCAGUCCUGCAGCUAACUGGACAGUGCCCCUUGCUCAUACCUAGAGUGGAUCCUCACUCAGUUCACUGCUUACAUGACAGUCUCCUUUGAAAAACCCUCACAGACACACCCAGAAACACUGCUUCACCAUUUCUCUAGCUAUUCUUUAGUCCAAUCAAGUUGACACCUAAAAUUAACCAUGACAAAGGGAGGAUUUUGCAACAACUGAGUAAAAUAUAACCACAUUGGCUGCCACCUGUUUGUCUGUAUGACAGUGGUCAGAAGCAGCUACUCCUGAUCAGAGCACAGCUCCUCAGUAUUUAAAGAACAGGGCCUUUUGGCUCACCCUAGGUCCUGCUCUAUGGAGUCUGUCUAAAGAAUGUGAACACAGCUGCCUGCCUCGGGGCUGAGAGGUCAGGGGUAGGCAUUUGCUAUUGGGCUAAGAGCACAAGUUCACCAAAAUAAACUGCAGUGUGCACUUAAGGGCUUCCUCUGGAAAUUGCAAGCUUUCACUGGACUCCAGAGCUCCAGAAUAGUUACGUGCAACCGAUUCUGCAAUUGUUGUCAAGGUGGAGAAGCAGAUUCUUGGUGCUUCCUAGUUACUUCACCAAAAUCCUCUUCUAGUUAAAUUUUACUUUAUUAAAAGUUACUGUAUGUUUUAUUUUUCUUGGGGUUUGAUUUUUGUUCUUUUUGCAUCUUAUCUAGUUGAAAAACAUUUAUUCCCUCUUUGAUUUGUUACUGAAUAUGUUAAUAGCUGUAUAAAAACAUCACUUGGAGUACAUACACCUUCAGUCAUUUCACAAAGACAGAGUGUUGUCGUUGUCAUUGUUUUCUAAUUCUAGUCUGAGUCAAGCGUAAUGUGAUGGAGGUUUUUCUUCCUGUUUUGUUAAUUUAUGGUUUUCACACAUUUGAUGAGAAAAUGAGAUCUAUAUUCUUUUCUAGUAGAAUUUUUGAAUACUUUACGCAUUUGCAUGCAUGUUUCAUGGGCAUUUAAGCAAAGGUACACUCUGUUAGUAUAAUAUUUAUUGCCGAGUAUCUGUCUCUUUCCGUUUGUCUUUUUGACAGUUGUUUGUUUAUUGUGGCAGGAAUCAAAUCCAGCGGUGCUUUGUCACUAAACUAUGUCCACAGCCCUUUCUACUUUGAGAUGGGCUCACAGAGUUGCCUAAGAAUUUGGCAUUCCUCCUGCCUCAGCCUCCCAAGUAGCUGAGAUUACGGAUGUCUACUACCACACCUGGCAAUUUUUAUUUUAUAUCAUUCAUUUUUGCAUUUUUACUGCAGAAAGGUACAUGCCAGUUACAGUUUAACUGAUUUAUAUAUGCCCUUAAUUGAAAAGGUACCGUUUUUCUCCUUUGAUACUUUUUAAUUGAUUGGUAUGUGUUAUUACUAAUAAUGUUUCAUAACAUAAAUAUGAAAUAUAUUAAUGAUAUUACUGUUAUAAUAUAGUUGUAGCAAUGUUAACAUUACUGAUAAUUAUUUGCAUAUUAAUAUAUAACAUUACAUUGUAUAUGUUAAUAUUACAACCGAUAAUUAUUUGCACAUUAAUAUAUAUUAUUUGCAUGCUUUGAUUGAAUUAUUGUCACUUUUCUUGUUCUUUAGCAUACAAUAAACUUCUUUUGAGAAAGGUA